AACAUUUUCAGAGGGGUGUGGUGUCCAAAGAGUUUACACCGUACACAUGUUUAAGAUCAGAAAACAUGGAAGAUUCUUGUUUUUCGAGGGAUGGGGCAAUCUGAUUAACAUAAACUCUCCUCUUUCGUACGCCUCUGAACACACAAAAACACAAACACACACACACACACGCAUGCACAUGAAGAGAGUGUCUGACAAAAUUCAAGCGAAAAGUCGAUGAGGUCAUCAAUCACAUGCAACAACCGCGAGGGAGGGUAGAAGAGGAGAGUGUGUGUGUGUGCGUGUGCUUGAGCGGAGAGAGAGGAGCUUGAGGAAGCCAAUCCUUGGAUUAGAACCCUCUAGUACCGGCGGUGGCGAUGGACCAUGCCCGAACUAUUUAUUUGGCUGGUUCCUAUGUGGGUACCUUUAAAAAAAUUUUGCUCUGUAUACUCUACAGCCCACCAGGCAUCAGCCACCGAACUAGUUAGUUUGGGAUGCAACGUCUCACCAGUAGACGAAUGAACGAAAAAGCAUGAGAGAAAAAUGAAGACAGGUAGCUAAAAAUGAGGCUGUCCUGCUCUUUUUCCUUUCCUUUUCUGUUUUCGGAUAAAGACGAGAACUCAGUGAGAAGUACAAAAAGUUCCGCUUCAAUAGUGUUUAUAAUUAUUCAAGCUUUAAAGGCUCAAUGAAGAAGUAGAGGAGGAAUAAGCAGCCUAACUUAAUCGUGUUAGUAAAGAAACAGUGAUAUCCAGUGAAAUAGAAAACGGACAGGGGCAAAAAGUCGCAAAAUUGUUCACUGUAUUAACAGUCUAGGAACUAAAACAGCUAGAUAAGGAAAUAAGCAGCUCCAAUAGAGAUUUAUACGUAAAUAUGUUUGAAAUUAAGAUGUUAUUACCUAUUCUAAUAGUGUUGCUUUUACAGAUUGAUGCAAUCAAAAAUAAGGGAAAUCGGCGUUAUAUUUAUUUAUUAUAUUUAUGUUUUAUAGAUGAAGUACAAUUAAGGAAAGCACUUCAACAGCAAAAAAAACACCUUUUUUCAAGAUAAUGUAAUUCCUAACAAAAAUAACAACCAAAUUAAUACUGAUACAGAAUGAAAGACAAAAUAAAAUACAUAUAUAAAUUUAGUAACCUACUGUAAAAUUUCACUGCCUUCUAAGUGGGUACCGAUUUCACUAGCUACAAGCUGGGUACCCAUUUCACUGCCUACUAGAUGGGUAAAAAUGUAAAUGAUGAAAGGCAUUGUUAA